AGGUACCACUCGCACACUCCGGUUGCUCCACGCCAUCCAUCCCCCCGGCGCCUGCUCGUUACGUUUGUUUGCU
rnacentral:sRNA from 2 species